AUCAGUCUUCCCACUGUGCCUCCUGCAAGCACAAGCAGGAUGAAAACAGGAUUCAGGAUGAAAAUAGGCCUGAUCUGGCUCAUUGAAUUGUGCUUGUGUGGGCUGGGACAGGAAUUGGAGGCUAGAGGCAGAGGAGUCGACAGAAGCAGCUUGUGGUAGCACUGCCGUUGAUGGAAAUAUCUGUGACUGGAGUCCUGGUUAUCAGCUGCAUGGGACAGUGUGUCAGCAUCAACUCCAUUUCCUGGUGCUCCAUGUGGCCAAAGAACAAACCUGAAGCAACUUCUCAAGGGCACGCAGCAACUGGUGGAAGAGCUCUGCAGUUGGAUGUCAGAUUUGUUUACCUUAGGCAUCUUCCAUCUUCGCCACCACUGCUGAAUCAGUCUUCCUUUAUGAAGCACGAUGUCCCCUUUGCAGUAGAUCCAGUAGAUGCACACAGCUUCACAUUUGCUGCUCUCGCUUACUGAUCUGGCCAUUCUCAAGGAAGUUCUCAUCCAGGAGUCACGAAGUUGCAAUGCAGAGAUAAGUGUCAGUACCUUCAAUUUUACAGAUCAGAAAACUGCAACACAGAAAUGUAAAAUGAGUCACUCCAGAUGUAGUUUUCUCAUGGUGUUCUCAUUUAUAAAGCUCAGGACUGGUCCACACUAGUGUUUUAUCUGAUUUACCUGGUUUUUCUGUCCCUCUGGGGAACGUAUCUUUGACCACAGUCAGUAUAUAUCCUGCGACAGAGUCUGAUUAGAUUUGCAUAGUGGGGAGAUAAAACCAGUGAGUGUGUAAGUGCUGAAGUGCAGCUCUUCAUCACAAUUGGCAAUAGUGCUGUUAGUUUAGUUCACCCUGGAAGAUGGUCUGAUCCUUACUAGAUUUAUCACUGGCAAAGAUGUGAUUGCUGAUCCCACUGCAGAUUUGUUUUUAAAUUAUUACUUUGCUUAAAGGCACAAUGUGUCUCAGUACUUUCUGUUAUAAUUGUAAAUACCAUUUUUUUUCUCAAAGACCCAGUGGAAUUUUUUCAUAGACGUUUCUGAAGCCAUUAGAAUCGAGGAGCCCCUGCUGGCACAGAGUAUCAAUAAUUGUUUCAAAACCUUCUUCUUAGUCACUUUGCAAAGACUGUUUCUCUAUAUCUUGUACAAUUGCAAAUAUUGUAGAACAUUUAAUUCUGUAUGGUCUUCCAACUUAGAUGUUAUCAAAAUGAAUAGAAAAACUGAAGUUCAGUUCGUGUUACAGAUAAAAGUGAAGAACAUAUGGUUUUCAAAAAGGACAUAUGGAUACAAAUGUACGUAUUUAUACAAACAUGUUCCGAUUAGCUCAGACUUUUCCUUUCUUUCUCUUGUGAUCAAAAUGUGAUAAGGCACAUAGGAUAGUGUAGUCCCUACAGGACCAGAUCUGAGCCUUGCAAAAGACAUUAGAAAGACUUCCAGUGAUUCCUCUGAACCUCAGACCAGAUCUUUGUUGUUGGAUAAACAUUAGUGAACAAUUUAGACUAGCUUCAUGCAAAACCUGUGUAUAUAAUGAAGAUGCAGAGUAUUUUAAAUGCAAUGUCAAUUCUAUUUUGAAUGUGUACUUCCACUACAUGACUAAAUAUAUAAAUUAACCUAUGCAAAAUAAGCUUAACAAAAUACAGGUAAAAAACAACCUGGAGAGUAAAUUUAUAGAGAUGACAACAUGAACACAGGUAUUUGCUAUGGAAAUACAGGUUGAUUAUUAAGUUAUCCCGAUUCACUUCUUAGAGAAAUCAAUAGAAGAUUCACUCUGUUUUAAUGGGAACAGCACUAGCCACCUUGUAUACCAGAUUGAGAUCUUCAGCGCAACAUGUAAGGAAAUAAGUCGGUUAGUAAAUAAGUGUCCAUAGAUUUACACCAGCUAUGUAAGUGAGGAUCUAUUCCUACAGCAUCUGUCUUUAGAAUCAUAUAUUCAGACAACUCAAGGGUUUAGCCAUUUGAAUUUCCAAAUUUUGCAAAGAUGAGUAGUGUUCUAGUAUCAGGCUGUAAACAUCGUUUGUGUUUGUCUUGUACUGCUUGUGUUUUUGAGAGAGAUCAUUUUUAUACUUCAAUAAAGAACAGUGAGCUCCCUGAGACA
rnacentral:lncRNA from 1 species